rnacentral:rRNA from 1 species
AAAGGAAUAGACGGGGGCCCGCACAAGCAGUGGAGUAUGUGGUUUAAUUCGAGGCAACGCGAAGAACCUUACCAGGGUUUGACAUCCCGCGCAAGGGGUAGAGAUACCCGGUUCCCUUCGGGGACGCGGAGACAGGUGGUGCAUGGUUGUCGUCAGCUCGUGUCGUGAGAUGUUCGGUUAAGUCCGGCAACGAGCGCAACCCUCGUUUCCAGUUGCCAUCAUUAAGUUGGGCACUCUGGCGAGACUGCCGUUGAUAAAACGGAGGAAGGUGGGGAUGACGUCAAAUCAUCAUGCCCCUUAUAUCCUGGGCUACACACGUACUACAAUGGGCGUUACAAUGGGCGGCCACACCGCGAGGUGGAGCGAAUCCCAAAAGGCGCCCUCAGUUCGGAUUGCAGGCUGAAACUCGCCUGCAUGAAGCAGGAAUUGCUAGUAAUGGCAGGUCAGCAUACUGCCGUGAAUACGUUCCCGGGCCUUGUACACACCGCCCGU